AACCCCCCGUGUGGCGGCAUCUCGCCCAACUCCCCCAGGGCCGGAAGGCAGCAAGGGUAAGUGAGCUCUGUCGGGUGCAUGGGGGGCCUUUU
rnacentral:SRP_RNA from 1 species